rnacentral:rRNA from 1 species
UACGUAGGGGGCGAGCGUUGUCCGGAAUGACUGGGCGUAAAGGGUGUGUAGGCGGUUUAUUAAGUUAGAAGUGAAAUACCUAGGGCUUAACCCAGGUGCUGCUUCUAAAACUGAUAGACUUGAGUGCAGGAGAGGUAAGUGGAAUUCCUAGUGUAGCGGUGAAAUGCGUAGAGAUUAGGAAGAACACCAGUGGCGAAGGCGACUUACUGGACUGUAACUGACGCUGAGGCAUGAGAGCAUGGGGAGCAAACAGG